UACGGAGGAUGCGAGCGUUAUCCGGAUUUAUUGGGUUUAAAGGGUGCGUAGGCGGGCUUUUAAGUCAGCGGUAAAAAUUCGGGGCUCAACCCCGUCCGGCCGUUGAAGCUGGGGGUCUUGAGUGGGCGAGAAGAAGGCGGAAUGCGUGGUGUAGCGGUGAAAUGCAUAGAUAUCACGCAGAACCCCGAUUGCGAAGGCAGCCUUCCGGCGCCCUACUGACGCUGAGGCACGAAAGUGCGGGGAUCGAACAGG
rnacentral:rRNA from 1 species